GUGACGUGAGCGCGUCCCGCCGUGCGUGUGUGUGUGUGCGCUGUUGUGAGCGUGCUGGGCGUGUGCGUGAGGUAGGGCGCGACAGUCACAGAGGCGUUAAGACCGGAAGAGCCCCAAGGCCGCGUAGCCCAACCAUCCCUCAGGGCAGCGCUUCGUCCCUCCGGGUCUGUGCCCGUGGAGGGCGGAUGGGCGCACAGCCGCGGAGCGCCUCCGCGGGCACCAAACGGAGCCUUCCCUGCUCCGGAGCCCACCGUGGGCUGCGCUCGGCUGCCCCACGGGGGGACGCGUGGACGGGGGAGAGAAGCGAAGCGCGGGCAGUCGGGUCGGCGCAAUGUGGGUUGGGUGCCCCGCGGCGCUCACACGUCGGCGAACCCACCUGUGGUGUUGGCGCUCUUAUGAGGGACAGCGUGAGGGGCUGCGGGUGGGGCGGCCGCGGCGCUUCUGUGGGCGGUGCAGCAUGGAGCUGCCACAGCGCAGCCUGCACCGUGCUGAGCUCAGCCUCCUUUGCUGGAUAUCCCACACAGAGCCGUUUUCACCAGCGGAGGUGAAGCUCUGCUCAAUAUGCUGUUUUGGAGCUGGCUCUGUACCCCUGCGCGGCGCCCGGCACCACACAAUGCAACGGAGCCCUUCGACUGCACCUUCUUGUACAGGAAAUCUACUCUAAUCAACUCCUUUGGGUUAAAUGAAAUAUUUAUUUUGAAAAGAAAAGGAAAACAAUUUAAAGGAACAAUAGUUGAACAUAUGGAAUCGUAGAGUCAAAGGGAGGCUUGGGUUGGAAGGGACCCCAAGGAUCACCAAGUUCCAACCCCGAUCCUCCAGAUGCAGUCCAGUCCAGGUUGCCCAGGGCUCCAUUCAAGCUGGUCUUGAACACCUCCAGGGAUGGGGCAUCCAGAGCCUCUCUGGGCAGCAGUCACAAUUAGAUGCAGCAGUCCAGUAAGGAGUCAGGAGUUUUGAUGCCAAAAUAAAUUAUUUGGACUAUCAAAACCCUUUGUCUCGGUUCCCUGCAGUAGCAGUAGCGGCGUUGAUGUUUCGUCCUGCAGUGCUCCGCCACAUCAGCAAACUCUCCUGUGGUCGGCUGGGAGAGCGGAG
ensembl:lncRNA